CGAGAAAAGCCCUAGGACUUUAACCAUGUGAUCUAUGGGCUUCAAAGUCUGAACUGUAACUUUCCUGGGCAUAAGUCAAAUAGCCUGUGAAAGGAUAGGAAAUCCCACAAAAAUGGGCAAAUAGAACUAGAAGCUUGCCAACAUGCAGCACCCGGAGUCUGCAGGAAAGUCCCCACAUCAGUUUGUCUACACUUAUCCAGUUGGGUUCCUGUCAAGCCCAUCUUGUUUACAGCUGUGUCUGCAAAAUACUGUGCUACAUUUCAACAUUCAGCAAGAAUAGCAUUUGGUCACACUCUACUUGCUCCCAACCUGGAUCACCUGCUUUGAUUUACUGUCCAAAAAGCAGGAUUCUUCCUGUGCCACGGCAAGGUUUCAAUCCUUGCACAAGGAGCCUCAUUCAAAGAAACAUCCCAAGCCCAACCUCUGCUCCCCACCUCCCUGCACACUCUGACCAGGAAAUAGCUUCAGAUUUGCUGACUUUGAUCAAGCCUCCAGGAACCAGUCCUGUGUUUCUGUUGUCUCUUAGCAACGCCUCACAGUGUGGCUUUAUUCAAUUGCCAUCCUCACCUGCCACCUGAGAAAGGAAAUCUCUCAGGAUAAGGGAAAACCUUCUAGAUCUAGUAGAAUGCUACUCUCUAAUGCACAGACCUGGCACUCUCCGUAAAGAUUUUCUGGGCCUGAUUUCAAAUUCUCCAAAAUUGUA